rnacentral:rRNA from 1 species
UACGUAGGGUGCGAGCGUUGUCCGGAAUUAUUGGGCGUAAAGGGCUCGUAGGCGGUUUGUCGCGUCGGGAGUGAAAACGCCGUGCUUAACACGGCGCUUGCUUUCGAUACGGGCAGACUAGAGGUAUGCAGGGGAGAGCGGAAUUCCUGGUGUAGCGGUGAAAUGCGCAGAUAUCAGGAGGAACACCGGUGGCGAAGGCGGUUCUCUGGACAGUUCCUGACACUGAGGCACGAAGGCCAGGGGAGCAAACGGG